CCUACGGGAGGCAGCAGUGGGGAAUAUUGGACAAUGGGCGAAAGCCUGAUCCAGCCAUGCCGCGUGUGUGAAGAAGGUCUUCGGAUUGUAAAGCACUUUAAGUUGGGAGGAAGGGCAGUAAGCUAAUACCUUGCUGUUUUGACGUUACCGACAGAAUAAGUACCGGCUAACUUCGUGCCAGCAGCCGCGGUA
rnacentral:rRNA from 1 species